GGUCCCGUAGUUCAAUGGAUAGANNAUAGAAGUUUCCUAAACUUUUGAUCUAGGUUCGAUUCCUAGCGGGAUCACAA
rnacentral:tRNA from 1 species